GAGGCAUAUUGGGAGGAAGUUGAGGUUAGAGAUGGCACAUCGGGAAGGGAAGUAGUGGGUAUGGAGACAACAUAUAGGAGAGUGAAGCAGCAGAAAGGGAUAGAGAUGGUGUGUCAGAGAGGGAAGAAGAGAACAAGGAUAGCAGUAGAUAAGGAUAAAGAUGGCGUAUCAGGGAAAAAAAACUGUGGAUGGGGAUGAUGCAUCUUACAUUGUGUGAAUGUAAUGAUACAGUAACAGGUGUGCAAAUUGACAUGGAC